rnacentral:rRNA from 1 species
GAGGAGCCUGCGGCCUAUCAGCUUGUUGGUAAGGUAAAGGCUUACCAUGGCUAUGACGGGUAACUGGUCUGAGAGGAUGAUCAGUCGCGAUGGGACUGAGACACGGCCCAUACUCCUACGGGAGGCAGCAGUAAGGAAUCUUCCACAAUGGACGAAAGUCUGAUUGGAGCAACACCGCGUGGUUGAUGAAGCCCUUCGGGGUGUAAAGACCUUUUCUGGGAGAAGAAUUCUGACGGUAUCCUAGGAAUAAGCACCGGCUAACUCCGUGCCAGCAGCCGCGGUAAUACGGAGGGUGCAAGCGUUAUCCGGAAUCAUUGGGCGUAAAGCGUCCGCAGGCGGUUUGUUAAGUUGGGUUGUUAAAUUUUGCAGCUCAACUGCAAAAAUACAUUCAAAACUGGCAAACUAGAGUACUUCAGAGGUACGUGGAAUUCUGUGUGUAGGGGUAAAAUCCGUAGAUACACAGAGGAAUACCAAAAGCGAAGGCAGCGUACUGGGAAGUCACUGACGCUCAGGGACGAAAGCGUGGGUAGCGAACGGGAUUAGAUACCCCGGUAGUCCACGCCGUAAACGAUGGAUACUAGUUGUUGGAGGACUCGACCCCUCCAGUGACGUCGCUAACGCAUUAAGUAUCCCGCCUGGGGAGUACGGUCGCAAGAUUAAAACUCAAAGGAAUAGACGGGGACCCACACAAGCGGUGGAGCAUGUGGUUUAAUUCGACGAUAAGCGAGGAACCUUACCUGGACUUGACAUCCCGAGAAUUUCCCCGAAAAGGGAAAGUGCCGCAAGGAACUCGGUGACAGGUGCUGCAUGGUUGUCGUCAGCUCGUGCAUUGAGGUGUUCGGUUAAGUCCGUGAACGAGCGCAACCCUUGUCCUGUGUUGUAUUUUCACAGGAGACUGCCGGCUUUAAGUCGGAGGAAGGUAAGGAUGACGUCAAAUCAGCAUGGCCAUUAUGUCCAGGGCUACACACGUGCUACGAUG